GAAAACGACUGCUAAGACUGGAUAGGCGACAAGAGGGCAUCUUCUUGUUUUUAAAAGACCUAGCAAUAGGUAUGCUUAGGGAGGAGCUUGCGUCACAUUAGUUAGUUGGUGGGGUAAAGGCCUAACAAGACUAUGAUGUGUAGCCGGGCUGAGAGGUUGAACGGCCACAUUGGGACUGAGACACGGCCCAAACUCCUACGGGAGGCAGCAGUAGGGAAUUUUCGGCAAUGGAGGAAACUCUGACCGAGCAACGCCGCGUGAACGAUGAAGUAUUUCGGUACGUAAAGUUCUUUUAUUAGGGAAGAAUAAAUGAUGGAAAAAUCAUUCUGACGGUACCUAAUGAAUAAGCCCCGGCUAACUAUGUGCCAGCAGCCGCGGUAAUACAUAGGGGGCAAGCGUUAUCCGGAAUUAUUGGGCGUAAAGGGUGCGUAGGCGGUUAAAUAAGUUUAUGGUCUAAGUGCAAUGCUCAACAUUGUGAUGCUAUAAAAACUGUUUAGCUAGAGUAAGAUAGAGGCAAGUGGAAUUCCAUGUGUAGUGGUAAAAUGCGUAAAUAUAUGGAGGAACACCAGUAGCGAAGGCGGCUUGCUGGGUCUUUACUGACGCUGAGGCACGAAAGCGUGGGGAGCAAACAGGAUUAGAUACCCUGGUAGUCCACGCCGUAAACGAUGAGUACUAAACGUUGGGUAAAACCAGUGUUGAAGUUAACACAUUAAGUACUCCGCCUGAGUAGUGCGUACGCAAGUAUGAAACUUAAAGGAAUUGACGGGACUCCGCACAAGCGGUGGAUCAUGUUGUUUAAUUCGAAGGUACCCGAAAAACCUCACCAGGUCUUGACAUGCUUCUGCAAAGCUGUAGAAACACAGUGGAGGUUAUCAGUUGCACAGGUGGUGCAUGGUUGUCGUCAGCUCGUGUCGUGAGAUGUUGGGUAAAGUCCCGCAACGAGCGCAACCCUUAUUGUUAGUUACCAGCGCGUAAUGGUGGGGACUUUAGCAAGACUGCCAGUGAUAAAUUGGAGGAAGGUGGGGACGACGUCAAAUCAUCAUGCCCCUUAUGACCUGGGCUACAAACGUGAUACAAUGGCUGUUACAAAGAGUAGCUGAAGCGCAAGUUUUUGGCAAAUCCUCAAAAAAACAGUCUCAGUUCGGAUUGAAGUCUGCAACUCGACUUCAUGAAGUUGGAAUCGCUAGUAAUCGCGAAUCAGCAUGUCGCGGUGAAUACGUUCUCC
rnacentral:rRNA from 1 species